UACGAAGGUGGCAAGCGUUGUUCGGAUUCACUGGGCGUACAGGGAGCGUAGGCGGUCGGGUAAGUCUAACGUGAAAUCUCCGAGCCUAACUCGGAAACUGCGUCGGAUACUAUUCGGCUAGAGGAAUGGAGGGGAGACUGGAAUUCUCGGUGUAGCGGUGAAAUGCGUAGAUAUCGAGAGGAACACCUGCGGCGAAGGCGGGUUGCUGGGCCGACACUGACGCUGAUGCGCGAAAGCCAGGGGAGCGAACGGGAUUAGAAACCCUUGUAGU
rnacentral:rRNA from 1 species